AGCAGUAGCCACGGUAACACGGAGGGUGCAAGCGUUAAUCGGAAUUACUGGGCGUAAAGCGCACGCAGGCGGUCUGACAAGUCAGAUGUGAAAUCCCCGGGCUUAACCUGGGAACUGCAUUUGAAACUGUCAGGCUGGAGUCUUGUAGAGGGGGGUAGAAUUCCAGGUGUAGCGGUGAAAUGCGUAGAGAUCUGGAGGAAUACCGGUGGCGAAGGCGGCCCCCUGGACAAAGACUGACGCUCAGGUGCGAAAGCGUGGGGAGCAAACAGGAUUAGAUACCCGCGUAGUCCCUGUCUCUUAUAC
rnacentral:rRNA from 1 species